AACGAAAAAGUAUUCCGUCCACAGCGAUCGUCAGAGCUAGACGCGCGCCGUCCGUACGGACGGCAUAGGCCGCGAGUAUUCAGCACUCAAAGGGUUUUAAUUCCAUUCAUUGUUGAUCUCCCAAGGUGUGAUACAAUCUUGCAAUUUUUGCAGGUUUUACAUUAUCGUUAAUAUUAUAAUUUAGUAGUACGAUGUCAUCACACAUAAAUUAUAUUGUAAUAUCGGAAAAAGGAUAGGAUUAGGAUAAUUUAGAUUUGUAAAAUUCUCCUAAUACUAUUUAUUAAGAUAAAUGAAAAUAACAGAGAUUAAUUGGACAGAGAACGAUAAAUGUUCAACUUGAACUAAAACACAAAAGUCUUAUUCCGCUCAAGUCACUCUUGCAACUCCAUAACGCAACAACUCGAUCUCUCUACAACGCUAGCAAUUCUACAACUCUCGUCUUCGGCAUCUGCACUCGCACGCUCUCGCUUCUCAACUCAUACUGUACGCCUUUUGCAUUCGUUCUCGCCGGCGUCUCAACUAACACUCCUUUAGCAUCUCUUUGUCUUUUCCCGCCCUAUCGCGCACGUGUCCCGAAAACGCCUGUGGCCAGGGUCACGCAGGCCUUUUCCACGAAACUGUUCACUUGAAAGGACCGACGACACAUUGAUGUACCCGACGAUGCCGCGGCUCUCGCGACAUUGUUUACGAUUCGGUCGAUAUCUUAGGCCUUUUGUCCACGAUACUACAAUAUUGACACGUAUAUUGUCAACUUUAUAUUGUGACAAUGUACGAAUGAAAUGAGGUUAAGGAAGGACGUAACUACAGAUACACUUCAAGUCAAUUUGUUUGUUUGUUUGUGCGAUAGUAGAGGACAUAGGCAGGAAAAUAUAGUGUCCGGAUAAUAGAAGCCUUGGAUAGUGGAACGUUCGGAUACUAGAGGCUCCACUAUACGACCAAAUCAAUCGUCGUCGAGUUUACCUGUGCCUGAGUUGAGAUUGCCACUGAAAACUAGAAUAGUGAUCUGCCUUCAUCGCGAUCAUUUUCGCUACAACGUCUCUUGCAUGCACGUCGAUUGUACAGAUUGUCAUGAUCUUCCUUCUAUCGCUUUCGCUCAAAUCUCCACAGAGAAGUACUAUCAACGCGUUUAACUGAUUAAUUUGCUUUCGCUGAUAAUCUUUAAACGCAUUCUCGAAACCUUCCUCUAGUCUCAUAAAGGCCAUGUUUACUUCCGUAGUCCACCAGAUUUGUGUUCCGCAUAGCGCGGGUUGAGCUCG
rnacentral:misc_RNA from 1 species